GUGUAUUGAUGUAUGGAAGUCUUUGAAAAGUACUUGAGUAAAUGAAAUCAUUUCAACUUUUUAAAACUGAACAUU